rnacentral:lncRNA from 1 species
CCAAAUGUAAACAUUUCUACAUCUUAUAAAAAGAUAGAUGAACAACAAAUAUGGCAUAAAGAAUACAGAUAAAUACCAAAAGAAUACAGAUAUGGUAUUAGAUUAGUUGCAAGAUUUGGAGCUAGUUUUAUUAUUAUUGGAUGAUGAACAUUGAUCCUAAAUUCCAAAUGUAUAGACAUUAUGAUGAAGAUUACAUAAAUUCAAAUUAGGCACCAAAACUUCUUCUUUUUGUCUCCCUUUAAAGGUAUUAUUUCUUUUGAACACCAACAAGUCAGGAGAUAUUGGCAGUGUAUUCAAUGACCAAGCCUCUCAUUCCUCGCUCGAUCAGCUUUCUCCAUGUAAUCCUCAUGAGAUUGCUGUUUUUGCCCUCCUGUUGAAGAAGAUCAAACUAUAAUUGAUUUAUAACAAUUAAUAUGUAGAAGUUCAGAAGACAUGCAAAGAAGGAUAAUAAAGCAGACAUAAAAUACCUGUUAAUUCUGAGAAUAUAUAAAAAGAGAUAUUAGGUGAGAUUCCGUCCGGGUCCGGGGAUGAUUUUCCUACCCGAAGCUGAAAAUUCCCCGUCCCCGACUGAAAUC